AUGGGGUGGAAGGGCGUCCUGGGGUUCGACUACGGCGUCGUGCAGGCACCGCUCGGCCCCGACAUCUCCGGCCCGGAGCUCGCCGCCGCCGUCGCCAACGCUGGCGCCAUAGGCCUCCUCCGCCUUCCUGACUGGCCGGCGCCGGACCACGUGAGGGGGUUGAUACAGAGGACCAGGAGCCUGACCGAGAAGCCGUUCGGGGCGGCCAUCGUGCUGGCCUUCCCGCACGAGGAGAAUCUGAGGGUCGUGCUGGAGGAGAAGCUCGCCGUGCUGCAGGUGUACUGGGGCGAGUUCCCCAAGGAGCGGGUCGACGAGGCCCAUCGUGCCGGCGUCAAGGUCUUGCAUCAGGUUGGUAACCUUGAGGAGGCAGCAAAAGCUAAGGAAGCUGGUGUAGAUGGAAUUAUCGUUCAAGGCCGCGAAGCAGGGGGGCAUGUGAUUGGUCAAGAGGGUCUGCUACCGUUGCUGCCGAGAGUAGUGGAUCUAGUUUCAGAUAGUACUGUUUCGGUUAUCGCCGCUGGUGGAAUCGUAGAUGGCCGUGGCUAUGCUGCUGCAUUGGCACUUGGUGCUCAUGGUGUUUGCUUAGGAACUAGGUUUGUAGCCACCGAGGAAAGCUUUGCGCAUCCGCUGUAUAAGAAAAAGCUAAUUGAGAUGAAUUGCACGGACUAUACAGCUGUGUUCGGGCGUGCUAGAUGGCCUGGUGCUCCACAACGUGUCCUGAAGACACCUUUCUAUGUUGAGUGGAAGAAUCUUCCAGAUCAUGAAACAGAGGAAAAUCAGCCUAUUAUAGGUCAUUCUAUCAUCCAUGGUGUGCACAAGGAUAUAUGCCGGUUUGCUGGUACUGUUCCUAAUGCGACAACAACAGGCGAUAUCGAUAGCAUGGCCAUGUAUGCUGGCCAGAGUGUUGGGCUAAUCACCGAGAUUGUACCAGCAAGGGAAGUUGUCAAGAGGCUAGUCGCUGAAGCACAGCGUGUCAUUGGAGAAAAGCUUUCUGGUUUCCCCAAAUCAUCAGAGUAG
rnacentral:rRNA from 1 species